rnacentral:rRNA from 1 species
UAAUACGGAGGGUGCAAGCGUUAUCCGGAUUCACUGGGUUUAAAGGGUGCGUAGGAGGGCAGGUAAGUCAGUGGUGAAAUCUCUGGGCUCAACCCGGAAACUGCCGUUGAUACUAUCUGUCUUGAAUACUGUGGAGGUGAGCGGAAUAUGUCAUGUAGCGGUGAAAUGCUUAGAUAUGACAUAGAACACCAAUUGCGAAGGCAGCUCACUACACAUAUAUUGACUCUGAGGCACGAAAGCGUGGGGAUCAAACAGGAUUAGAUACCCUGGUAGUCCACGCCCUAAACUAUGGAUACUCGACAUACGCGAUAAACUGUGUGUGUCUGAGCGAAAGCAUUAAGUAUCCCACCUGGGAAGUACGACCGCAAGGUUG